rnacentral:rRNA from 1 species
AUUGAACGCUGGCGGCAGGCCUAACACAUGCAAGUCGAGCGGAGCGGCGGACGGGUGAGUAAUGCCUAGGAAUCUGCCUGGUAGCGGGGGAUAACGACCGGAAACGGGCGCUAAUACCGCAUACUAUCGGAUCGGCCUAUGUCGGAUUAGCUAGUUGGUGGGGUAACGGCCUACCAAGGCGACGAUCCGUAACUGGUCUGAGAGGAUGAUCAGUCACACUGGAACUGAGACACGGUCCAGACUCCUACGGGAGGCAGCAGUGGGGAAUAUUGGACAAUGGGCGAAAGCCUGAUCCAGCCAUGCCGCGUGUGUGAAGAAGGUCUUCGGAUUGUAAAGCACUUUAAGUUGGGAGGCGGUACCAGCAGAAUAAGCACCGGCUAACUUCGUGCCAGCAGCCGCGGUAAUAC